rnacentral:rRNA from 1 species
AACGAACGCUGGCGGCAUGCUUAACACAUGCAAGUCGAACGGAAACGCCGUGCUUUUGUGCGCUGCUCGGGUUGCGAACGGGUGAGUAACACGUGAGUAACCUGCCCUUGACUUUGGGAUAACUUCAGGAAACUGGGGCUAAUACCGGAUAGGAGCUCCUGCUGCAUGGUGGGGGCUGGAAAGUUUCGGCGGUUGGGAAUGGACUCGCGGCUUAUCAGCUUGUUGGGUGGGUAGUGGCAUACCAAGGCUUUGACGGGUAGCCUGGCUGAGAGGGUGAGCGGCCACACUGGGACUGGGCUACGGCCCAGCCUCGUAUGGUAGGCAGCGGUGGGGAAUAUUGCACAAGGGGCGGAAGCCUGAUGCAGCAACGCCGCGUGGGGGAUGACGGCAUGCGGGUUGGAAACCGCUGUUGCCUGUGACGAAGCGUUAGUGACGGUAAUGGGUAAAGAAGCACCGGCUAACUACGUG